GCCAAAGCCUCUGCUUUGAAGGGGCGGGGCUAAACCGAGGGAGGGUGGGGCAUACCAUCAGAAUUGGGGAAGGGGUGUUUUUAUUAUUACGGGGGGGGGGGGGUGACCACCACCCACUCUUAUGAAGGGCUCGGCUUCUCGGUUACGGUGAAUCCCCCUCUCGACAAAUGGAAGCGGCACCUGGAAAAUAAGCAAAGGGGAGGGGGAGAUUUUGGAAAACCUUGCUCCGCCGUCAGGUUACAGUGGCAGCGAGUCCUUAAUUGACAGAGGAUGCAUCUACUACAUUGUAGAAUUUGUCGUGGUUUGCAAAGGCAAGAUGCUGUAUGUGUUAACUGAAAAUUGAAGCGCAAGUCUGAGCCCGCAAAGAACUGGGGGUUGAUUUGAUACUGUUUCUGUUCUGCUGCUGCAGAACCUGUUUGGACAAGUUUUUCAGUAAAGACUGAGUACGCUGCUGAAGAGAGCUGUGUACUCAGAGAGGCCUUGCUAUUUUGAGGCCUUUUUGCUGCUGAGAAAAGAGGGAGAAGUACCAGGACUGUAUUCUUCUCUGAAGCAGAUUCAUGGACUGAGAAAGGACUAUUUAUGGCUGUGGACUUCUGCGAUCCCUCGUAGUUCAAGGAUGAUUGUCUUCCACCCUGGGAGUGUGUCCAUAGAUGGCGGAAGAGACCUAUUCUUGAUCUGCAUGUUCCCCCACAAUGAGGAUAUCGGUUUCCAGGUGGAAGGCGGUCCCGGUCAGGGUUGGCUUGACGCUCCUUCGUCUUGGCACGUUUCUCCCUUAAGCCCUCCAUUCGGGCCUCUUCAAACUCCGCAGCACUGCUGGUCACAGCUGACCUCCAAUUAGAGUGCUCAAGGGCCAGGGCUUCCCAGUUCUCAGUGUCUACGCCACAGUUUUUAAGGUUGGCUUUAAGCCCAUCUUUAAAUCUUUUUUCCUGCCCACCAACAUUACAUUUCCCGUUCUUGAGUUUGGAGUAGAGCAACUGCUUUGGGAGACGGUGAUCGGGCAUUCGGACAACGUGGCCAGUCCAGCGGAGUUGAUGGCGUAGGAGCAUUGCUUCAAUGCUGGUGGUCUUUGCUUCUUCCAGCACGCUGACAUUUGUCCGCCUGUCUUCCCAAGAGAUUUGCAGGAUAUUCCUGAGGCAACGCUGAUGGAAACGCUCCAGGAGUUUGGUGUGAUGUCUAUAGACCAUCCAGGUUUUGCAGGCGUAGAGCAGGGUUGGGAGGACAAUGGCUUUAUAAACACAUCUCUCUGAUUUGUGUAAUCACGAUCCAGGCCUUGAACUGAUUUCAGGAUAAUCAAUCUCACCAUCCAAACACAAAAACCACUUUCUUCUAUGCAGGUUCAAACUGACGUAAGUGGUCAGUGUAGAUGUGCCCCAGGAAGGCUAGAAUGGCUUCCUCCUUCCCAUCCUUGUAGUAAUCCAUAAUACAGUUUCAAACUGAUUUCAGGGCAGUGUAGAUGAGGCCACAGGAUUGUCUUUCAGACAGCCAGGACCACCAUAUUUCUAUUUGCAAGUCAGCUAUUAAUACAAGUAAUGAGCAAAGAGUUCCAAAAGGCUUUUAGAACUGAAAAUGUUUAAGUAAAAAUCUUGUCAGAGGGUCCUAAUUGUUUUUCAACAAUUCUUUGUAAAUAGGUUUCUGCACUGGUUAAAUGUAUGUUUUAAAUAGUUUUAUUAUUAUUAUUAUUUGUUUAAUACUACUUCAAUGUUUUUAUAUGCUUCCAACUAUAUUUUAUUAAAGUGGAAUACAUUUAUUAUGCUA